ensembl:rRNA 5S_rRNA 5S ribosomal RNA
GCCUACGGCCAUACCACCCUGAAAGCGCCUGAUCUCGUCUGAUCUCGGAAGCUAAGCAGGGACGGGCUUGGUUAGUACCUGGAUGGGAGACCGCCUGGGAAUACCAGGUGUUGUAGGCU